CCCCUUUCAACCGGACGCGCGCCCGCCUAUAUUCAACGUGCCGGCGCAAGCCGGAUAUGGCGAUAAACGGCCAUCGGAAUAAACCCUUCGGACCCGGGGGCAGUACCCGGCGCCUCCACCCGAGCCCAGAUGCGCGCAUCGCCUGCGCGGCGCUGGGCUCCGGCGGGGGCGAAACAGGAUCGACGAGGGCGUAAAGGGUGGGCUUUCGCUCGGCAUGGUACCGCCGUCAUCGGACCGAACAUAUAGUUGCCAACGACAACUAUGCUCCGGUUGCUCAGGCCGCGUGAGCGGUUUGAUCUCUGGGAAAUAAGUCCUUGCGGGUAGCACUGUAAGGCGGGGUUCGGAGGCACCUGGCAACAGAAGCCUCCACU
rnacentral:tmRNA from 1 species